GAGAGAAUGCUCUUUUGCCUUCGCUAAGAUAUGAUGCAGAUUCUUCAUCUGCGGGAUAUUCUUGCGUGGUAUAACAGACGAAGAUCUGCAUCAUAACCAAGCGGGAGUAAACAUUGUGCUACC
rnacentral:pre_miRNA from 1 species